rnacentral:rRNA from 1 species
GGUGAGUAACGCGUGGGUAACCUACCCUGUACACACGGAUAACAUACCGAAAGGUAUGCUAAUACGGGAUAAUAUAUUUGAGAGGCAUCUCUUGAAUAUCAAAGGUGAGACAGUACAGGAUGUACCCGCGUCUGUUUAGCUAGUUGGUAAGGUAACGGCUUACCCAGGCGACGAUCAGUAGCCGACCUGAGCGGGUGAUCGGCCACAUUGGAACUGAGACACGGUCCAAACUCCUACGGGAGGCAGCCGUGGGGAAUAUUGCACAAUGGGCGACAGCCUGAUGCAGCAACGCCGCGUGAGUGAUGAAGGCCUUCGGGUCGUAAAACUCUGUCCUCAAGGCAGAUAAUGACGGUACUUGAGGAGGAAGACCCGCCUAACUACGUGCCAGCAGCCGAGGUAAUACGUAGGGGGCUAGCGGUAUCCGGAUUUACUGGGCGGAAAGGGUGCGGAG